rnacentral:tRNA from 1 species
AGCUCAGUGGUAGAGCACUUGCCUUGCAUGCGUGAGGCCCUGGGUUCAAUCCUCAG